UACGUAGGGGGCGAGCGUUGUCCGGAUUCAUUGGGCGUAAAGCGCGCGUAGGCGGCCCCGCAAGUCGGCCGUGAAAUCUCCGGGCUCAACUCGGAGGGGUCGGGCGAGACUGCGAGGCUCGAGGUGGGCAGAGGGCAGUGGAAUUCCGGGUGUAGUGGUGGAAUGCGUAGAGAUCCGGAGGAACACCAGUGGCGAAGGCGGCUGCCUGGGCCUGGCCUGACGCUGAGGCGCGAAAGCGUGGGGAGCAAGCCGG
rnacentral:rRNA from 1 species